rnacentral:rRNA from 1 species
GAUAAACGCUGGCGGCGUGCCUAAUACGUGCAAGUCGAGCGAACGGACGAGAAGCUUGCUUCUCUGAUGUUAGCGGCGGACGGGUGAGUAACACGUGGAUAACCUACCUAUAAGACUGGGAUAACUUCGGGAAACCGGAGCUAAUACCGGAUAAUAUUUUGAACCGCAUGGUUCAAAAGUGAAAGACGGUCUUGCUGUCACUUAUAGAUGGAUCCGCGCUGCAUUAGCUAGUUGGUAAGGUAACGGCUUACCAAGGCAACGAUGCAUAGCCGACCUGAGAGGGUGAUCGGCCACACUGGAACUGAGACACGGUCCAGACUCCUACGGGAGGCAGCAGUAGGGAAUCUUCCGCAAUGAGCGAAAGCCUGACGGAGCAACGCCGCGUGAGUGAUGAAGGUCUUCGGAUCGUAAAACUCUGUUAUUAGGGAAGAACAUAUGUGUAAGUAACUGUGCACAUCUUGACGGUACCUAAUCAGAAAGCCACGGCUAACUACGUGCCAGCAGCCGCGGUAAUACGUAGGUGGCAAGCGUUAUCCGGAAUUAUUGGGCGUAAAGCGCGCGUAGGCGGUUUUUUAAGUCUGAUGUGAAAGCCCACGGCUCAACCGUGGAGGGUCAUUGGAAACUGGAAAACUUGAGUGCAAGAGGGGAGAGUGGAAUUCCAUGUGUAGCGGUGAAAUGCGUAGAUAUAUGGAGGAACACCGGUGGCGAAAGCGACUCUUCUGGCUUGUAACUGACGCUGAUGCUCGAAAGCGUGGGGAUCAAACAGGAUUAGAUACCCUGGUAGUCCACGCCGUAAACGAUGAGUGCUAGGUGUUAGACCCUUUCCGGGGUUUAGUGCCGUAGCUAACGCAUUAAGCACUCCGCCUGGGGAGUACGACCGCAAGGUUGAAACUCAAAGGAAUUGACGGGGGCCCGCACAAGCGGUGGAGCAUGUGGUUUAAUUCGAAGCAACGCGAAGAACCUUACCAGGUCUUGACAUCCCUCUGACCACUCUAGAGAUAGAGUUUUCCUUCGGGACAGAGGUGACAGGUGGUGCAUGGUUGUCGUCAGCUCGUGUCGUGAGAUGUUGGGUUAAGUCCCGCAACGAGCGCAACCCCUAUUGUUAGUUGCCAUCAUUCAGUUGGGCACUCUAGCGAGACUGCCGGUAAUAAACCGGAGGAAGGUGGGGAUGACGUCAAAUCAUCAUGCCCCUUAUGACCUGGGCUACACACGUGCUACAAUGGCUGGUACAACGAGUCGCAAGCCGGUGACGGUAAGCUAAUCUCUUAAAGCCAGUCUCAGUUCGGAUUGUAGGCUGCAACUCGCCUACAAGAAGUCGGAAUCGCUAGUAAUCGCGGAUCAGCACGCCGCGGUGAAUACGUUCCCGGGCCU